GAUGAACGCUGGCGGCGUGCCUAAUACAUGCAAGUCGAGCGAACAGACGAGGAGCUUGCUCCUCUGACGUUAGCGGCGGACGGGUGAGUAACACGUGGAUAACCUACCUAUAAGACUGGGAUAACUUCGGGAAACCGGAGCUAAUACCGGAUAAUAUAUUGAACCGCAUGGUUCAAUAGUGAAAGACGGUUUUGCUGUCACUUAUAGAUGGAUCCGCGCCGCAUUAGCUAGUUGGUAAGGUAACGGCUUACCAAGGCAACGAUGCGUAGCCGACCUGAGAGGGUGAUCGGCCACACUGGAAGUGAGACACGGUCCAGACUCCUACGGGAGGCAGCAGUAGGGAAUCUUCCGCAAUGGGCGAAAGCCUGACGGAGCAACGCCGCGUGAGUGAUGAAGGUCUUCGGAGCGUAAAACUCUGUUAUUAGGGAAGAACAAAUGUGUAAGUAACUAUGCACGUCUUGACGGUACCUAAUCAGAAAGCAACGGCUAACUACGUG
rnacentral:rRNA from 1 species